rnacentral:rRNA from 1 species
UACGGAGGGGCUAGCGUUGUUCGGAAUUACUGGGCGUAAAGCGCACGUAGGCGGACUGUUAAGUCGGGGGUGAAAUCCUGGGGCUCAACCUCAGAAUUGCCUCCGAUACUGGCAGUCUCGAGUGCGGGAGAGGUGAGUGGAAUUCCCAGUGUAGAGGUGAAAUUCGUAGAUAUUGGGAAGAACACCAGUGGCGAAGGCGGCUCACUGGCCCGUAACUGACGCUGAGGUGCGAAAGCGUGGGGAGCAA